AGGGAGGGGGCAGAGCUAUGAAUGAUGAAAGCGGUUACCAGCCGUUCAGUACCAUCUACUGGGAAUCACCGGGAGUCAUUCCUAUUUUUUACCCAGGCGCCCCCGGCCAGCCUCACUGAGGCCAGC